UGCUGUCGUGGUGCCGCCAGCCUGGGAAGCGGCGGCCAGAAGUCAGUGGUCCAGAGGCCCGAGCACAGGGCGGUUGUGCCAGGAACACUGACCCUGAGGCCCGUCCCAUCCUGAGCCGGCAUCGCGAGGGGCUGGAGUGACAGCGUGCCAGCGCCCCUGGAUGGGGCAGAGGGGCACCACGAGCUGGGGGUGGUCGGGGAGCUGCAUCUGCCAGGUGCCCCUCAAGCCCCGCACUCCUGCUUAGAAGACCAUGGGGGCCUGCCCAGGUGGGGACCCAAGGGUGGGACCACCCAGCCCCCUGAGAAGUUGGCUCAUGAGAUUGCAGAGGCUUGGUGGGUCCAAGAUCUGAUCAGAGAGGCUGGAGGGUCGAAGUUCAAGUCCAAAGGGAGUCUGCCAUGGAAAUCAGGAAGCGCUAAUGCUGCCAAUGAAAUCAGAAGACAGUCCGCUGGAGAAUUUACUCGCGCAUGGAGGAGGUCAGCCUUUGUUCUCUUUGGUUUUCUACUGACGGGACAGGGGCUUUCCAGGUUGCUCGGGGGUAACGAGUCCCCUGCCAAUGNNNNNNNNNNNNNNNNNNNNNNNNNNNNNNNNNUGGAGAAGGGAAUGGCAACCCACUCCAGUGUUCUUGCCUGGGAAAUCUCACGGACAGAAGAGCCUGUGGGCUACAGUCCAUGGGGUUGCAGAGUCAGACCCGGCUGAGUGACUGCACGAAUGAUUGGACAACGUAUUCUAUAGGAUUUCAAUCCUUUCACAUUUCUUGACGUUUGUUCUAUGACCCAGGAUGUGGUCUAUCUUGGUCAGUGUUCCAUGGAUGCUUGAAAAGGGUGUUCAUUCUGCUGCUGUUUGGUGGACAGUUCUAUAAAUGCCCUUUAGGUCCUGUUGCUUGGUGAUGGUUUUGCCUUCUUCUAAAUCUUGGUUGACUCUGUGUAGACGUCCCAUCAUUUGCUGACAGUGGAAUCAAUGGGGGACAGUGGAAGUCCCUAAGUAAGAGCUAUAAUUUUAGACUUGUCUAAUUCUUCUUUCAGUCUAUUAUAUUUUGCUAUACACACACAUAUAUGCAUAUAUGUAUUUUUUUUGGCCACACCAUGUGGCAAAUGGUAUCUUAGUUGUCCAUCCAGGGAUUGAACCGACACCCCCUGCGUUAGAAGCGAAGUCUUAACCACCAGGCCAGCAGAGGAGCCCCACUUGGCAUGGUUUUAACUCUGUUGUUUGGUGUGUGAAUACUUACAGUCAUCAUGUCUUCCAACUGCAUUGAUUCUUUUAUCACUAUGUGACAGUCCUCUUUGAUUCUAGCCAUUUUCUUUGCUCUGCAAUCUACUUUAUGUGAUUUUAAUAUAUAAUAACUGAUAACAUGAUAAUGCGUUCAGUUCAGUUCAGUCGCUCAGUUGUGUCCGACUCUGUGCAACCCCAUAGACGGCAGCCCACCAGGC
rnacentral:lncRNA from 1 species